CCUACGGGUGGCAGCAGUAGGGAAUAUUGCACAAUGGGGGAAACCCUGAUGCAGCAACGCCGCGUGGGGGAAGAAGGUUUUAGGAUUGUAAAGCUCUAUCGUGAGAGAAGAAAAUGACGGUAUCUCACGAAUAAGCACCGGCUAACUACGUGCCAGCAGCCGCGGUAAUACGGAGGGUGCAAGCGUUACUCGGAAUUACUGGGCGUAAAGAGAGCGCAGGCGGGCGUGCAAGUCAGAUGUGAAAUCCUGUGGCUUAACUCCAGAACUGCAUUUGAAACUGUGGUGCUAGAGUGCAGGAGAGGUAGGUGGAAUUCUUGGUGUAGCGGUUAAAUGCGUAGAUAUUAGGAGGAAUACUCGUUGCGAAGGCGACCUACUGGACCGUUACUGACGCUCAUGCACGAAAGCGUGGGGAGCAAACAGGAUUAGAUACCCCAGUAGUC
rnacentral:rRNA from 1 species